rnacentral:rRNA from 1 species
UACGUAGGGUGCGAGCGUUAAUCGGAAUUACUGGGCGUAAAGCGUGCGUAGGUGGUUCGUUGUGUCUGUGGUGAAAGCCCCGGGCUUAACCUGGGAAUGGCCAUGGAAACUGGCGAGCUGGAGUGUGGCAGAGGGGGGUGGAACUCCGCGUGUAGCAGUGAAAUGCGUAGAGAUGCGGAGGAACACCGAUGGCGAAGGCAGCCCCCUGGGCUAACACUGACGCUGAGACGCGAAAGCGUGGGGAGCGAACAGG